rnacentral:rRNA from 1 species
AUACGGAGGGUGCAAGCGUUACUCGGAAUCACUGGGCGUAAAGCGCGCGCAGGCGGCUAUUUAAGUUGGAUGUGAAAGCCUACGGCUCAACCGUAGAACUGCAUCCAAAACUAUUUAGCUAGAGUGUGGGAGAGGAAGAUGGAAUUAGUUGUGUAGGGGUAAAAUCCGUAGAGAUAACUAGGAAUACCAAAAGCGAAGGCAAUCUUCUGGAACACUACUGACGCUGAGGCGCGAAAACGUGGGGAGCAAACAGGAUUAGAAACCCUAGUAGUCC